GACCGGCCCGAUGAGUGUGACCGUCGCCGGUGUGGUGGGCCGUGGGCGUCUCCCGGGAGCUGGGCGGUGGUGCACUGCUGCCGUUGGUCA
rnacentral:tRNA from 1 species